GCGUAGCUCAGGGGAUAGAGCAACUGCCUCCUAAGCAGUAGGCCGCAGGUUCGAAUCCUGCCGCG
rnacentral:tRNA from 1 species